rnacentral:rRNA from 1 species
UAGGGAAUCUUCGGCAAUGGGGGGAACCCUGACCGAGCAACGCCGCGUGAGUGAAGAAGGUUUUCGGAUCGUAAAGCUCUGUUGUUAAGGAAGAACGAGUGUGAGAAUGGAAAGUUCAUACUGUGACGGUACUUAACCAGAAAGGGACGGCUAACUACGUGCCAGCAGCCGCGGUAAUACGUAGGUCCCGAGCGUUGUCCGGAUUUAUUGGGCGUAAAGCGAGCGCAGGCGGUUAGAAAAGUCUGAAGUGAAAGGCAGUGGCUCAACCAUUGUAGGCUUUGGAAACUGUUUAACUUGAGUGCAGAAGGGGAGAGUGGAAUUCCAUGUGUAGCGGUGAAAUGCGUAGAUAUAUGGAGGAACAACGGUGGCGAAAGCGGAUCUCUGGUCUGUAACUGACGCUGAGGCUCGAAAGCGUGGGGAGCGAACAGG